CUGAAUGGCCUCUGGGCCUUCAACCUUGCAAACCUGUGGAAGCAACAUGUGCUUCGGCGCCUCGGCGUCGCUUUUAUGCUGCAAUAAGCCUAUGUGUCUGAAUCAAAUACAAGAAAUA
rnacentral:misc_RNA from 1 species